AGUGAACGCUGGCGGUAGGCCUAACACAUGCAAGUCGAACGGCAGCACAGUAAGAGCUUGCUCUUACGGGUGGCGAGUGGCGGACGGGUGAGGAAUACAUCGGAAUCUACUUUUUCGUGGGGGAUAACGUAGGGAAACUUACGCUAAUACCGCAUACGACCUACGGGUGAAAGCAGGGGAUCUUCGGACCUUGCGCGAUUGAAUGAGCCGAUGUCGGAUUAGCUAGUUGGCGGGGUAAAGGCCCACCAAGGCGACGAUACGUAGCUGGUCUGAGAGGAUGAUCAGCCACACUGGAACUGAGACACGGUCCAGACUCCUACGGGAGGCAGCAGUGGGGAAUAUUGGACAAUGGGCGCAAGCCUGAUCCAGCCAUACCGCGUGGGUGAAGAAGGCCUUCGGGUUGUAAAGCCCUUUUGUUAGGAAAGAAAAGCAGCAGAUUAAUACCCCGCUGUUCUGACGGUACCCAAAGAAUAAGCACCGGCUAACUUCGUG
rnacentral:rRNA from 1 species